rnacentral:rRNA from 1 species
CCCCUAGACGUUCUGGGCUGCACGCGCGCUACAAUAAUACGCACAGCGAGUAUCACCGAGCUCGAAAGGGCAAGGUAAACAAUAGAAAAGGUACCGUAAUGGUUAUAGAUCCUUGUAAUUAUUGAUCUUCAACGAGGAAUUCCUAGUAAGUAUGUGUCAUCAUCACGCACUGAUUACGUCCCUGCCCUUUGUACACACCGCCCGUCGCUCCUACCGAUUGAGUGAGCCGAUGAAACUGCCGGAUGUGGACUAUUCAUAGUCUGCAGAAGAUAUUUGAAUCGUAGCGCUUAGAGGAAGGAGAAGUCGUAACA